UCGUAGGUAGCUUAAUAAUUAAAGCUUCGGAUUCUUACUCCGGUGAUGUCUUUGGACACUAUGAG
rnacentral:tRNA from 1 species